CGUCUAAAUUAUGGGGUGUUGGCACUUCUUCCGGAAGUUAAAGGGGCCAAGAACAUCCGGCAAUUUCGCCCGAUCACACUCAUCAACGUCAGCUUCCGCCUCUGUGCUAAGGGUUCUGCAUGUUGUUUGGCUCCGGUUGCACAUAAGGUGAUUGAUCAGGUAAAGUCCGCGUUCAUCCGAGGGAGGGGUAUUCUGGACGGUGUGGCGGUUCUCCAUGAAGUGUUGCAUGAAAUUAGGGUGUCUAAAGAAGAAGUGUACAUCCUUAAAAUUGACUCCAAAAAGGCUUACAACAGGGUACGGUGGGACUUUUUAGAGGAGGUCCUUCACAAGAAGGGCUUUCACCCUCUUUGGUUUAGUUGGAUGCGGUAG
rnacentral:rRNA from 1 species